GGAGAAAGCAAUGUGAUAGGGACUCCACACCAUUACCCAUGCUAAUGCACCAGACUUCUGGUCCCAAGAAAUGUGUUCAUCUGCACAUGUUAUGGAAGACACUAGUGGUCCUGAGCUGGUCUUUUGUCUGUCCUGUGAGAUGGAAACGAAUCAAGGCAGAAGACAAUACAACUUUCAUAAGAAGACAGACAUACACAACAGGAGUGGAUUGCAAAAGCGAGAUUUGCAAACAGACAAAAAUUAAUGUUGAAGAGUACAAACAAAUCUCCUGGCACGUACUAUACAAACUUCAACCCAAGAUCUUCUUUGCUAGCAGCCAAAAAGAAUUUCAUCCAGGAGGCAUAGUGCUUUAUCACGCAGGCUCAGCCUCAUCAAGUCCUCAGCCCUUGGCUGAGGGAUGAAGGAUAAAAUGCUUGGCCAUGAACUGCUGAAGAAUAGAGAAAAAUGAUCCAUUUGCAGCAAGGAAGGCUGAUUUUUUAAUAACACCUCUGCACCGGCUCUGGGGCACAGAAAGAAAAGGUGUGCUGGGUGAGUUCUGUAGGCAUGUGUCCUGAUUUAAGCAACACAGGACUAAUUUCUCUUCUAACGCUUGGGAAAACUGCACUUCUAGAAGACUUCAGUGUCUGAAUUUGUGAAAAUAUUUACUUUA